UAGUCACAAUUAGUGUUAACCAUAACUAAUAUAAAAAACUAAAUACUUUGUAAUAUUUAAAAAAUAUUUUUAAAUUAUAAAAAAAAUUAAAGGAAAUCAUAAAAAAAAAAAAUUUGCUUUAAUUUUUGUAAUUGAGCCACUUAAUUGAUAAAAUUCCCCAGCGUAAAAAAAGGAAAUCAUAAAAAAUCUAAAUCCCCCUACA
rnacentral:lncRNA from 1 species